CUCUGUGACUCCUACGGGAGGCAGCAGUGGGGAAUAUUGCACAAUGGGGGAAACCCUGAUGCAGCCAUGCCGCGUGUGUGAAGAAGGCCUUCGGGUUGUAAAGCACUUUCAGUAGGGAGGAAGGUAGUGUAGUUAACACCUGCACUAUUUGACGUUACCUACAGAAGAAGCACCGGCUAACUCCGUGCCAGCAGCCGCGGUAAUACGGAGGGUGCGAGCGUUAAUCGGAAUUACUGGGCGUAAAGCGCAUGCAGGUGGUUUGUUAAGUCAGAUGUGAAAGCCCGGGGCUCAACCUCGGAACUGCAUUUGAAACUGGCAGACUAGAGUACUGUAGAGGGGGUAGAAUUUCAGGUGUAGCGGUGAAAUGCGUAGAGAUCUGAAGGAAUACCGGUGGCGAAGGCGGCCCCCUGGACAGAUACUGACACUCAGAUGCGAAAGCGUGGGGAGCAAACAGGAUUAGAUACCCUGGUAG
rnacentral:rRNA from 1 species